rnacentral:rRNA from 1 species
AGGACGAACGCUGGCGGCGUGCUUAACACAUGCAAGUCGAGCGGAAAGGCCCUUCGGGGUACUCGAGCGGCGAACGGGUGAGUAACACGUGAGCAACCUGCCCCUGGCUCUGGGAUAGCCUUCGGAAACGGGGAUUAAUACCGGAUAUUCACUGCUUCCUGCAUGGGGGGUGGUGGAAAGUUUUUCGGCUGGGGUGGGGCUCGCGGCCUAUCAGCUUGUUGGGGGGUGACGGCCCACCAAGGCGACGACGGGUAGCCGGCCUGAGAGGGCGACCGGCCACACUGGGACUGAGACACGGCCCAGACUCCUACGGGAGGCAGCAGUGGGGAAUAUUGCGCAAUGGGCGGAAGCCUGACGCAGCGACGCCGCGUGCGGGAUGAAGGCCUUCGGGUUGUAAACCGCUUUCACCAGGGACGAAGCGAGAGUGACGGUACCUGGGGAAGAAGCGCCGGCUAACUACGUGCCAGCAGCCGC